rnacentral:lncRNA from 1 species
GGGGCAAUUCCAAUCAACACCAGCCAUUUCUCAGAUGGAUCACAUUUGUGAUCUUGAGUUGUCCCAGGAAGUUGAGCUUCAAAAGAAAUUUGAGGUGUUGAUUAGCUAGCUAUAUAGUUAAAUAUUGACAUCAUUGUUUCUCUAAGGGCCUUUAUGAAAAGUUGCAUCAACAAGACAACUUUUUGGAAUAUUUCAAAGUUUCCAAAUAGAUGAUUGAAUAAGGUUCUUGAGUUCUGCAUUUGACAGUACUUCAGAACAUUCUGCUAAACACAUUUCUUCAAAUAAACUAUUAAAAUAGGACAUGGAAGCAAGCCAGUGCACAUGUCAUAGCGAUACCCCUAGCCUCCUAGCAUGUGAAAAUAAUUCAAUGGCGGCCACCUUGCACGAAAAUCAUGAAAAUAUAAUAACAUAUACAUGAGAAAUUAAACUAGAUCAGAGAACAACACAAUCAGUUGGCAAGAGCCUGGGGAUUCAUACUCAUCAGAAGGCAAUCCAGCAGUUAAAAAACGGGCAUGAACAAAGCAACUGAUGCAAAAUUCCAUGACCUGAUACAGAAAACGCCUUACCUUUCAAAGCCAGAAUCUUCGAAAUCGGAUUCAUAAGAGCCGAGUCAGCCGUAAUUGGCCUCCUUAGCGGCUGCAUUGGCAUGCUCAUGUCAAUGAUCACAACGCUAUUCUGAGGAGACGUUUCGCGAACACAUAUAAACUUAUCCGACUCCAUCGUUACAUUUGUGAACGUAAUAAACUGCGGACUGAUCCCUAUGCUCGGCAACUGCAACAUCAUAAGAUUCAAAAUCAAAACAAAAAUCAUGUCCAAAAGCGGAUCACACUGAACUAUUCUUUCAAAACCACAUCCAUCACUUCAAUCCACAGAUCUGAAAACCUACCACGUAGACCUUCAUUCUCUCCUAAAUCUAAACAGCACGAAGAUCAUAACAUCCAGCACUACACUACUUCGAGUAAAAUUAAUCCUAAAUUAACCUAAUUAAGCAAGUUUUUCACAACUAUCAAAGUACGAUUCCACUUUUAGAACUAGACUUUAUACAAACAUAGUAGAUAUUGCAAUUCACUACAUACAACUCCAAAACGCUAUAUAAAACGACGAAAUUGUGUAAACGAUGCGAGUGUGAAUCUAUCAAUCUAUCCUUUCAAAACCAAAUCCAUCACUUCAAUCCACAGAUCUAGAAACAUACCACACACAUAUUCACUCUCUCCUAAAUCCAAACAAUACGAAGAUCAAAACAUUCAGCAAUACACUACUUCGAGUAAAAUUAACCCUAAACUAACCUAAUUAAGCAAGUUUUUCAUAACUAUCGAAGUGUGCGAUUCCAAUUUCAGAACUAGACUGCA